rnacentral:rRNA from 1 species
GAUGAACGCUGGCGGCGUGCCUAAUACAUGCAAGUCGAGCGAACAGAUGAGGAGCUUGCUCCUCUGACGUUAGCGGCGGACGGGUGAGUAACACGUGGAUAACCUACCUAUAAGACUGGGAUAACUUCGGGAAACCGGAGCUAAUACCGGAUAAUAUAUUGAACCGCAUGGUUCAAUAGUGAAAGACGGUUUUGCUGUCACUUAUAGAUGGAUCCGCGCCGCAUUAGCUAGUUGGUAAGGUAACGGCUUACCAAGGCAACGAUGCGUAGCCGACCUGAGAGGGUGGUCGGCCACACUGGAACUGAGACACGGUCCAGACUCCGACGGGAGGCAGCAGUAGGGAAUCUUCCGCAAUGGGCGAAAGCCUGACAGAGCAACGCCGCGGGAGUGAUGAAGGUCUUCGGAUCGUAAAACUCUGUUAUUAGGGAAGAACAAAUGUGUAAGUAACUAUGCACGUCUUGACGGUACCGAAUCAGAAAGCCACGGCUAAUUACGUG